rfam:Calocera viscosa TTFC12733 unplaced genomic scaffold CALVIscaffold_24, whole genome shotgun sequence.
UCCGAGAUGGUGUAAUGGUUAACAUUGGUGCCUCUCACGCACCGGCUCGGGGUUCGAUUCCCCGUCUCGGAA